rnacentral:rRNA from 1 species
UGAGAAACGGCUACCACAUCCAAGGAAGGCAGCAGGCGCGCAAAUUACCCAAUCCCGACACGGGGAGGUAGUGACAAUAAAUAACAAUACAGGGUUCUUUUGGAUCUUUGUAAUUUGAAUGAGUACAAUUUAAAUCUCUUAACGAGGAACAAUUGGAGGGCAAGUCUGGUGCCAGCAGCCGCGGUAAUUCCAGCUCCAAUAGCGUAUAUUAAAGUUGUUGCAGUUAAAAAGCUCGUAGUUGAAUUUCGGGAUCAAUGUUUCGGUCAUGCCGUUGGUAUGUACUGAUAUUAUUGAUUUCUCACCUUCUAAAGAACCGUAAUGCCAUUAAUUUGGUGUCACGGGGAAUUAGGACUGUUACCUUGAAAAAAUUAGAGUGUUUAAAGCAGGCUCACGCUUGAAUACAUUAGCAUGGAAUAAUGAAAUAGGACAUCCGAUUCUAUUUUGUUGGUUUCUAGGAUCGAUGUAAUGAUUAAUAGGGAUAGUUGGGGGCAUUAGUAUUCAAUUGUCAGAGGUGAAAUUCUUGGAUUUAUUGAAGACUAACUACUGCGAAAGCAUUUGCCAAGGAUGUUUUCAUUAAUCAAGAACGAAAGUUAGGGGAUCGAAGACGAUCAGAUACCGUCGUAGUCUUAACCAUAAACCUAUGCCGACUAGGGAUCGGAUGAUGUUAA